GAUGAACGCUGGCGGCGUGCCUAAUACAUGCAAGUCGAGCGAACAGACGAGGAGCUUGCUCCUUUGACGUUAGCGGCGGACGGGUGAGUAACACGUGGAUAACCUACCUAUAAGACUGGGAUAACUUCGGGAAACCGGAGCUAAUACCGGAUAACAUGUUGAACCGCAUGGUUCAACAGUGAAAGACGGUCUUGCUGUCACUUAUAGAUGGAUCCGCGCCGCAUUAGCUAGUUGGUAAGGUAACGGCUUACCAAGCCAACGAUGCGUAGCCGACCUGAGAGGGUGAUCGGCCACACUGGAACUGAGACACGGUCCAGACUCCUACGGGAGGCAGCAGUAGGGAAUCUUCCGCAAUGGGCGAAAGCCUGACGGAGCAACGCCGCGUGAGUGAAGAAGGUCUUCGGAUCGUAAAACUCUGUUAUUAGGGAAGAACAAAUGUGUAAGUAACUAUGCACGUCUUGACGGUACCUAAUCAGAAAGCCACGGCUAACUACGUG
rnacentral:rRNA from 1 species